GGAUGCCUCCCCAGGCAAACACCAGAUCCCCCUCUAACUACAUUCCUUUACUUAUCUAAACAUGGGGACUCAGUCCUUUAAUCAGUAAGAAUACAUCAGUUUAAGAAAUUUCCCUGACACCUUUCUGAAAUUACAUGUAUUUGGCAGUUUUUUUUAUUCCACAGUUAAGCUAUUGACAUUUCAUUGUGCUUUUUAGCUUCUGAUAAACGUCUGACUGAAAAGAAAGUCAAGCCGAGGCACAGCUGGCUCUACAAUCAGGAGCCAUAAGGAAGAAUCUUUCCAACCGGGAUGCCACUGAUGAGGCUGUCCAGAACCAGGUCCCCAGGUACCAGAAAGGGGCAGCUGACCGUGCAGGUGGGAGAUGUCGCGGUGGUACAAGGGACCUGCCGUGAAUCUGAAUUCAAUAUUGCUGCUAAGCUGCAGGACUGUAUUAUUAUUAUUUUUUUUACUGCUGCUAUGUACAGUGUUAUAUAUAUGAUCGCAUUAUCCUCUUAAUAUAUUUAUAGCUCUGUGUGAAUGUACUGUAGUUGUAGUGUUAUGCCACCAUUCAUAAGCAUAUUGCACUGAUGUAUCGAUGAUAUUCAAUAACAAUUGAUUGC
ensembl:lncRNA